AUUGAACGCUGGCGGCAGGCCUAACACAUGCAAGUCGAGCGGAGCGGCGGACGGGUGAGUAAUGCCUAGGAAUCUGCCUGGUAGUGGGGGCUAACGUCCGGCAACGGGCGCUAAUACCGCAUACUAUCAGAUGAGCCUAGGUCGGAUUCGCUAGUUGGUGGGGUAAAGGCCUACCCAGUCGACGAUCAUUAACUGGUCUGAGAGGAUGAUCAGUCACACGGGAACGGAGACACGGUCCAGACGCCUACGGGAGGCAGCAGUGGGGAAUAUUGGACAAUGGGCGAAAGCCUGAUCCAGCCAUGCCGCGUGUGUGAAGAAGGUCGUCGGGUUGUAAAGUAAUUUCAGCGGGGAGGCGUUACCCGCAGAAGAAGCACCGGCUAACUCCGUGCCAGCAGCCGCGGUAAUAC
rnacentral:rRNA from 1 species